rnacentral:rRNA from 1 species
AUUGAACGCUGGCGGCAUGCCUUACACAUGCAAGUCGAACGGCAGCACGGGGCAACCUGGCGGCGAGUGGCGAACGGGUGAGUAAUGCAUCGGAACGUACCUUUCAGUGGGGGAUAACGUAGCGAAAGUUACGCUAAUACCGCAUAUUCUGUGAGCAGGAAAGCAGGGGAUCGCAAGACCUUGCGCUGAUCGAGCGGCCGAUGUCAGGUUAGCUAGUUGGUGAGGUAAAGGCUCACCAAGGCGACGAUCUGUAGCGGGUCUGAGAGGAUGAUCCGCCACACUGGAACUGAGACACGGUCCAGACUCCUACGGGAGGCAGCAGUGGGGAAUUUUGGACAAUGGGGGCAACCCUGAUCCAGCCAUGCCGCGUGAGUGAAGAAGGCCUUCGGGUUGUAAAGCUCUUUCGGCCGGGAAGAAAUCGCACGGGCUAAUACCCUGUGUGGAUGACGGUACCGGAAUAAGAAGCACCGGCUAACUACGUGCCAGCCGCCGCCGUAACAC